UCCUCUUUUGCAACCCAGAACUCCUUGUUCAGUAGAAGUUUUGAUACAUACAAGAAGGAA
rnacentral:snoRNA from 1 species